rnacentral:rRNA from 1 species
GAUGAACGCUGGCGGCGUGCCUAAUACAUGCAAGUCGAGCGAACAGACGAGGAGCUUGCUCCUCUGACGUUAGCGGCGGACGGGUGAGUAACACGUGGAUAACCUACCUAUAAGACUGGGAUAACUUCGGGAAACCGGAGCUAAUACCGUAUAAUAUAUUGAACCGCAUGGUUCAAUAGUGAAAGACGGUUUUGCUGUCACUUAUAGAUGGAUCCGCGCCGCAUUAGCUAGUUGGUAAGGUAACGGCUUACCAAGGCAACGAUGCGUAGCCGACCUGAGAGGGGGAUAGGCCACACUGGAACUGAGACACGGUCCAGACGCCUACGGGAGGCAGCAGUAGGGAAUCUUCCGCAAUGGGCGAAAGCCUGACGGAGCAACGCCGCGUGAGUGAUGAAGGUCUUCGGAUCGUAAAACUCUGUUAUUAGGGAAGAACAAAUGUGUAAGUAACUAUGCACGUCUUGACGGUACCUAAUCAGAAAGCCACGGCUAACUACGUG